UGGUAGUAGAAAAAUAUUAUAAAAACCAAUAUAAUUUGGCGGCAUUAAGUUUUAUUAGAGGAACUUGUUUAUUAAUCGUCACUCCACGUUAUUUCUUACUUUAAAAUAAAUCUUAUAUACCGCCAUCCCAGAAUUAAUUUAAAAAUUAAAUUCAAAUUAUAUUUUAUUAAAAUAUAGGUAAAGGUGUAGACAAUAUUAAAGAUUAAAUGAGUUACAAUAAACAUCAUUUAAGGAUAAUUUUAAAAAAUUAAAAUUUAAAAAAGGAUUUAUAAGUAAAUUUAUAACAAUAAUAAAAAUUGAAUAAAAAUAAAAAUGUGC
rnacentral:rRNA from 1 species